ACAGGCAGAUUGCAGCUCAGCGACACACAGCUGAGCCCAAGUUCCCUUCUGGCAUCUCUUUGAAUAAGACUGCAAACUCAGUCCUCUGAAUGACAGAAGAAAGCUCCCUGGUGAAACAGGAGGCUGUAUGGAAAGUUAAUUUUAAGGCAGCUAAAGGUGCAUGCUGGGGGUCUGAGUUUCCUUUGCCGUCCCUCCCCCACCUGCUCUGUCAGGAUAAGUCGAAUUUGUCCUCCUCACCCAGGGACCAGGCCUCCUCAGAUGGCUCCCUGAGGCUCCCCCCGGCAGGAAGAUGUCACGUAGGCAGAGGAAGGGAAAACAACACGCAGCCGACCUCUCUGAGGAACUCUCUGUGCGGCGGGGCUUUGGGUCAUCGCCAGUCUUGACAUCAUCCGGCACUGGGACCCAGAUGUACGGAUCUCUAGUGAUGCUUUUCAGAGCGAGCGUCCAGAGGAUCCACCUGGAGAUCACUGCAAAGGUUUACCGCUUCACUUUGGCUCGGACAAUCAAGCUUUAGGAGUCAGCAGGCUGCCAAAGCCCAGGGCUUGAGGUGAGAAUCCAGCAGCACAGACUUGAGGGGUUUUUGCUUCCUUAAAUAAACAAUUGAACAGGCAGCAUGAUGCAUCUCUGCAGCGUGUUGUGCCUCACAAAGACAGGAUU